rnacentral:rRNA from 1 species
UGGGGAAUAUUGCACAAUGGGCGCAAGCCUGAUGCAGCCAUGCCGCGUGUAUGAAGAAGGCCUUCGGGUUGUAAAGUACUUUCAGCGAGGAGGAAGGCGUUGUGGUUAAUAACCGCAGCGAUUGACGUUACUCGCAGAAGAAGCACCGGCUAACUCCGUGCCAGCAGCCGCGGUAAUACGGAGGGUGCAAGCGUUAAUCGGACUUACUGGGUGUAAAGCGCACGCAGGCGGUCUGUCAAGUCGGAUGUGAAAUCCCCGGGCUCAACCUGGGAACUGCAUCCGAAACUGGCAGGCUAGAGUCUUGUAGAGGGGGGUAGAAUUCCAGGUGUAGCGGUGAAAUGCGUAGAGAUCUGGAGGAAUACCGGUGGCGAAGGCGGCCCCCUGGACAAAGACUGACGCUCAGGUGCGAAAGCGUGGGGAGCAAACA